GCUGGGUGAGGGUUAGGGGUAAAGCCUGUGCCCAGAACACACGCACGAGGCCCUGGGUUCUGCCCAGCACCUCACUCACAUACACACACACACACAGGAAAGAAAAGACAAAGCACAACAGGAGAAAAAUCCCAACUGGACUUUGGAAGAAAAAGAAAAAAAAAAAAAAAACAGCAACUAGGGAUUGUCAGCGCAGCAUCCGCUGCAGGAGGAGCCACAACUCCCCUACCAUCACCAGCAAAUCAUAUUUAAAAAGAUAUUCUUUAAAAAGGAGGGGAGGAUAGAUUAUUCUCACACUUGUUGAUUUCAUGGAAAAGGCUGAAUAAACACAAAAAGGUAUUUGUAAAAGUUCAGCGUGAUUUUCCCAGGUCAUUAUAGUGAAAUCAUUUAGUAAAAUAAAUAAAUAAGUCCGAUAAGGAAAAAGCGCUUCCACCAUUAUGAAAUGGAGUGCGUUUGUUCCACCCCCAAAUUAACACCCUCUCAGGAUAGAGGACCGUUCUCCAGGUUGAUGCAGCUGAAGUAGGUUAGAUUGAUGAGAAAAUGACCACCUUAGCUUACUUACUUACUUACUUAUUUAUUUUAUCAGACUUGGCUUCAGACCAGGAAAACAAAUUAUCCUGAAGCCGUUUCACCCAAUGUGGGCUGGGGGAGCGGCACCCGCAAAGGGGCUUUCAGCUCCACCAUGACGUUCUGUUUCCCAAGCUGGGCAGAAGAACACGGGGGUGACUUCCUACCCCACUCUGUUUAUCUUGGGUUGUUAAUAAUUAAGGCUAAAGCAUUUGCAGGCUGACCGGCUGUGAGGAACCACGACUGGUUAAGUGCAUCCAUUUCACAACCCAGUCAAGGGCUGCGUCUGAGCAGAGCUCAGGGAGCCAGCCCAGGUCUCGCUUGCAAACAGAAUUCAGACCUCUGAGCUCUGCAGACGGUUCCUUCCCUGAGCACUUGUCUGCACUUGACCUUCUGUUCCAAUUAAGGCACGAAACUAAAAAAUCCAGUGGUCUCCAGGUCUUCAGAAAACAUCCCUCCAACAUACAAUGUGACAACAACUGUUUGCCGUAUUUCAAGUGAUAAGAAUCCUAAAGGAUAUGGAAGAGAAAACAGGCUUAUGCUGUCAGACACACCACUCAUGUCUCUGAGGCUCGGUGUCGGAGAAGCUUUGGGAAUGAAGGCAGGUCUCUCCUCUUUUUAUUCACCAUCUCUGACCACCAGAAGUGUUCAAAAGCAAAACACAGACGCAGAGAAGACAGGAACGGCUGGCCACGGCCACACGUACGUACCUGACGGCAAACUGCAAGGCGGCUGGGCCCGGCUUCUUGGGCAGAUCAUGGUCCAGAACUCGGUGGUCCAAUUGCAGCCAGUUCUGCUGACCCCUGUGAGGGCAGAGUGAGGAGAAGGGUCACUGGAAGUUUCGGCAACAUGGGGCGCUGGGAAGCUGACCGGGAGCUGUGGGCACUGAAGGCAGAGGGCAGCCCUGGCCCCCUGUGAAGGGCCGGUGCUUGAAAACCACGGACCCCUCUGCUCCGGCCCAGGGAGCUGAUGAAGGUUAGCUUGUGCAUUUGAAAAAUGGACCAUGUGUGAAGUCGCUCCCUGUAGCAUUAUUUCUCAUAGCAAAAAGACCAGAAAUAGGUCAAAUAUUAUAGAGGGCAUGGCUACAGUGGGUAUCUAGAACCGUAGUGAAAUACAACGCAGCACAAAGGAGCGGGGUGGGGUGCGGAGCCCGGUUACACACGCACUGAGAAGAAACUGCAAGAUACGAUACUAAACAACAAAGCAAGAUGCAGGACCCUAAGUACAGUAUAUCGCUAUUUUUAAAAAUCAAUAAGAAGAAUUAACAUAUAUGUGUGCACGCAUUUAUGAAAAAUCUGCAAGAGAAUAAUAAACUGAUCACACUGAUUUUGGGGGAGUUAAACUGCCGGGCAGCAUAUUAAUUUCUAGAUUCCUAUUGAAUAUGAAAUUCGAAGUGUUUUAGUUAAGAAGGGCAGACUUCUGGUUUAAUGAAAUCAAACUCACAGCUAACAAUACCAUAGCUUUUGAAAAUCUACAGGGCUGACUCUCCUCGGGGGCCGCUUCUGUGUACACACAGGGACUCAGUCAUAUUUAAACUGUGCUUAUUUAAUCAAGAGCCUCAGCAGGUUCAUGGGUAUAACAGUUCUCUCUACUGUGACCUCGCGGGGAGCCCAGGGCUGAGGAUUGUUUAUAGGCUGCCAAGGUUGCCUGUCUAGUCCUUGCAUUUGGGGACCUUUCCAGUUGUUCCCAUAAAACCCAAUUUAAGAACACACUGAUGGUGCAGAGGGGUGUCGAACUGCAACAAAAUCUAUAAUGGGCCUUCUCGGGGGGCAUUGCAACUAACUAAAAUACAAACCAGAAACUUCUAAGCUGGGUUCAUUUUAAGUAGGUAGGAAAAUUACACUCAACAGCAGAAUGUACUUUGACGCAUCCCACACAGAUGGAGUAGAACUUCUCAUUCUUCUGGUUGUACGUGAUGGAGAAUCAAGCCUGUCGUGUAGUCAUGUGCACAUAGGGUAGUAAGGUCCCAUUCAUUCCACCAUCCUUCUUCCCCUCCCCUCCCCUCCCCUCCCCUCCCUCCAGUCCUCCCUGUCUAAUGCAAAGCACCUCUGUUUUUCCCUACCCCACCCCGAUUGUGAAUCAGCAUCUGUGUGCGUAUCAGACAGAACACUCGGACUUUGGUUCUGUGAGACGGGCUCCUUUUGCUUAGCAUGACAUUCUCCAGCUCCAUCCAUUUAACUGCAAAUGCCAUCAUUUCAAAAGUGUGACUGUUUCCAUGAUCAACCCCCAAGGCUGCCGACAACUGUCCGAGCUUCCCUUGGAAGAACAUUGCGUGGGUAAAUAAGGAUGUCGUGAUUGGAAGACCCGCUCGAAUUUCAUAGCUGAUCACGUGUCCUCCUAAAACACACAGAACACCAUGUGGGGUCACAUCUGAACGCUUUUCUCAGGGCAGAUGCAGCAGGCUCUGGGUUGUCCUGGGUCCCCUCCCUGUGUGCAGCAGCUCACACGCUGCGCUGUUCUCACAAACCUGCAUGAGUUACGUGCCAGGGGGAGGGACGUGGGUGGAUAGUGCUGCCAACACACGGCCAGCCGGCCAGCCACGGAGGCACAGGUGGAAGGCCACGCGACGUCCAGAGGAAGCCGCAGCCCUGGAGACAGAGCCCACGGCUGGUGCUGUCGCCCUGCGGGAGGGCUGCGGUGGGGGGUCCGCAGGGCCUGGCCAGCACCAGGACAUCGAGCAUUUUUCCAUGAAGAGUCACGUGUACGUAAUGUAAAAUAAAAAAUUAAAAGUACACGUCAGAAAUCAGGUUUUUAAGGUGAACUUGUAAUCCUAACAACUGGAAAACAUCUUGAAGAUUGAACAGAUGAAGAGCACCCCCAGUUUCAUCCCCCCGGGGUUAUCAGUAGGGUCACGUGCAGCUUCUAACCUGCCUUUUCAAGAGUUUCCAUCAGCAAAUAGAAGAGAUGGAAUCAACUUAAAAAGACAGGUGCGUGCAGUCCUCGUAGGUG